rnacentral:rRNA from 1 species
GUCUAUGGCCAUACCACCCCAAACACGCCUGAUCUUGUCUGAUCUCAGAAACUAAGGAGGGUUGGGACUGGUUAGUACUUGGAUGGGAGACCACCUGGGAAUACCGGGUGCUUUUUUUA